rnacentral:rRNA from 1 species
AGCUCCAAUAGCGUAUAUUAAAGUUGUUGCGGUUAAAAAGCUCGUAGUCGAAUUUUGGGUUUGGCUAGACGGUCGGCCGGAAGGUCAGCACUGUUCUGAUUGAGCCUUAAUGCUUCUGGAACCUCAGUGUGCUCUUUGUUGAGUGCUUCAGGGAACCAGGACUUUUACUGUGAAGAAAUUAGAGUGUUUAAAGCAAGCAUACGCUUGAAUACAUUAGCAUGGAAUAAUAAAAUAGGACUUUGGUCUUAUUU